rnacentral:rRNA from 1 species
AGUUCGGAUUGCAGGCUGAAACCCGCCUGUAUGAAGUUGGAAUCGCUAGUAAUCGCGGAUCAGCAUGCCGCGGUGAAUACGUUCCCGGGCCUUGUACACACCGCCCGUCACACCAUGAGAGUCGGGAACACCCGAAGUCCGUAGCCUAACAGCAAGUGGGGGCGCGGCCGAAGGUGGGUUCGAUAAUUGGGGUGAAGUCGUAACAAGGUACC